rnacentral:rRNA from 1 species
UCCCAGACUCCUACGGGAGGCAGCAGUGGGGGAUAUUGGACAAUGGGGGGAACCCUGAUCCAGCGAUGCCGCGUGAGGGAAGAAGGUUUUCGGAUUGUAAACCUCUGUGGACAGGGACGAUAAUGACGGUACCUGUCAAGAAAGCCCCGGCUAACUACGUGCCAGCAGCCGCGGUAAUACGUAGGGGGCAAGCGUUAUCCGGAUUUACUGGGUGUAAAGGGAGCGUAGACGGUUGUGCAAGUCUGGAGUGAAAGGCGGGGGCCCAACCCCCGGACUGCUUUGGGAACUGUAUAACUGGAGUGCAGGAGAGGUAAGUGGAAUUCCUAGUGUAGCGGUGAAAUGCGUAGAUAUUAGGAGGAACACCAGUGGCGAAGGCGGCUUACUGGACUGUAACUGACGUUGAGGCUCGAAAGCGUGGGGAGCAAACAGGAUUAGAUACCCUUGUAGAG